rnacentral:rRNA from 1 species
AGAGUUGAUCCUGGCUUAGGACGAACGCUGGCGGCGUGCCUAACACAUGCAAGUCGAGCGAGGAGAUUCCUUCGGGAUGAUCCUAGCGGCGGACGGGUGAGUAACACGUGGGCAACCUGCCUCAUAGAGAGGAAUAGCCUUCCGAAAGGGAGAUUAAUACCUCAUAACAUUGCAGUUUCGCAUGGAACAGCAAUUAAAGGAGUAAUCCGCUAUGAGAUGGGCCCGCGGCGCAUUAGCUAGUUGGUGAGGUAACGGCUCACCAAGGCGACGAUGCGUAGCCGACCUGAGAGGGUGAUCGGCCACAUUGGGACUGAGACACGGCCCAGACUCCUACGGGAGGCAGCAGUGGGGAAUAUUGCACAAUGGGGGAAACCCUGAUGCCAGCAACGCCGCGUGAGUGAUGACGGCCUUCGGGUUGUAAAGCUCUGUCUUCAGGGACGAUAAUGACGGUACCUGAGGAGGAAGCCACGGCUAACUACGUGCCAGCCGCGGC